rnacentral:tRNA from 1 species
AAGGAUGUAGUUCAGUGGUUGAAUACCUGUAUGCAGGAGGUCCUGAGUUCAAUCCUUAGUAUAAUUU